rnacentral:lncRNA from 1 species
GCCAAAGAAAGCUCUCAAUUCGGGGGAAAAGGCUUCUCUAUUCUCUUGAAAAAAGGAUGACAAAAAACUCCUUCCUUAUAUCUUCAAGAAAAUGAGAAAAUGACCUCGAAGAAUAUAUGUAAAUUUACUUCCUCAUCAGUUGAUGAGAAAGAAAAUAUUGAAUCUAAAUAAGAUCAAUCAUGCCUCUUUCGUACCAUAUGUAAUCAUUAUUGUUAACUUUUCGAUCCGGAUUUAAUUAUGUUUGACUAAGAUUUACCCCUUAAUCUUUGAUUGAUUUAUCCAAAAAGGUUUUAGUAUCUUUUGAGUCAAACAUUUAGCUUAUAUACAUCGCUAAUAUAAAUAAAGUUUUACUAUUUUUACCAAGUUACUAAUCAUGUUUAUUAUAUGGAGUUUUAUUUGCAAUUAUAGUAAUGUGAUUUUCUCAUCUUAUUCUACAGUCUUUCCUGUAGCCAAUCUGACUUUUGGUGCAACUUUAACUUUUCUUUUUCCAACUUGAGCUAAUGCAUUGAUUGAAAGAAAAAGGACAGAGGAGUGAACAGUGAACUUAGUUUAUUCAUGAUUUGAAACUAUUUUGCUUUUAUUAAAAUGCUAAAUGAUGAUUUCCAUUCCAGCCUUUUACCGUAACAAUAAGUAAUUUUUCAUAACAAGUUUAAUAUGAUAUCCUGGAACAUAGAGUAAUAGUAUGUUACAAGAUAAAUAAAAGAUUAUUUACGCGGUCAUAUAUAUAAUUUAAAUCCAACUCUUAUUAAGUGUGACUCAGACUUUCACUCCAGUGCAUGCCAGCCCAGACAUUCAUUGAGUGGGAAUCAAAGUAGACUUCCUUUUCAUCAGAAGUGGCCAAAAAUAUGGUCCCAGUGUAUUCAAGAUUGCCCCAUCCUUAAGAUCCAAGGAUUCCAACUUUUGUACUACCCUUAUGUUUUGUCAACAAUUUUGUUCGUAGUCUGCAACUAACUUCUUGGGCACAAUUAGUCCGAAUAUAUUUUUAACAUGAUUGAAUUGGUCCGAAUAUAUUUUUAACAUGAUUGAAUUGGUCCGAAAAUAUUUUUAACAUGAUGUGAUAUUGUUUGUUUUACGUUAAAUUCAUACGAUUUUUUUCAAAAGCUCUUACAUUAUUAAGAGAUCUCUACACUUUAUAUGUAGGGGUAUUUUCAUAUAUACUUAUUUUUGAGGCCACCAUUAAAGUUAUAUACACAUUGCACUAAAUUUUGUAAAGUGUAUCUGUCUAAAGUAGUUCAACCUAUUCAAUGCAAUUUCAGAAAUCAAAUAUGAAGUUCUUCUAUCUUUCAAAUGUAACUUCAGAAAUUCCAAUCUUAAGUAGGUCAAUAUCUUCAAUGCAACUUUAGAUUUCAAAUUUAAAGUUCUUCUAUCUUUCAAAUACAACUUCAGAGAUUUGAAUCUUAAGUAGCUCAAUUUCUUCAAUGCAGCUUCAGAUUUCGAAACUUAAGUUCCGAAACAUAAACUUGUUCUUUGAAUUUUAACAACCCUCAUACGCCUAAAUCUACUUCAAAUGAGCUCAAAUUUGGAUAAAUUUUAAAUAUCAUAAAGAACAAAUUCAGUCAUCAAAUUAUCAAAACAACAACAAAUUUAACAAAUAAGAAAAAAAAGAAGAAGAAACCCUAAGCACAAAGAAGAAGAAAGCAGCAACGAAGAAGAAGAGAAGCGUGUAUGUAUUUGAAGUUAUCCGAAAAUCGGGUAUUAGUUACUUUUUUUUUAAAAUAGUUACAAAUUUAAUGGGUGGCGCAAAACUGGACGCCACAUAUUUUACUUGUAUGCAGUCUCAUAUUUUCUUUAGCUACCAGUGUGGGACUUUGAUCGCACACCCGGUAAUUCCCUUUUUGAACUAAGUCCAUGUGGCCAACUACCACGAUGCCUCUCCCUCGCACUAAGUUUCACGUGAUCCAUUACCAUGAUCCACGGGUCAAUUUUUGAGAUUUUAUUUGCCACCCACAUCGUUAGAAUAUUUAUGCAACCAAAGCCCCCAACCAACUUUUUUUUGUCUGUGUGUAUCUCUAAGCUCGUAAGGAGAAGUAAACUAGGCCACACAUCAUCACUCUGCGAUCUUCAUACUCAUCUCGUCGAACCUGGGCUCUGAUACCUGUUGUUGGACUAAAGGUACUUGUAAUAUGGUAUGAUAUUGUCCACUUUAGAUCAAGCCCGCACAAAUUUUCGCAAUGAUCUUCAUACCAUUAAGAGAUUCAUACACCUUAUAUGCAAAUUUCUAUUGUUUUAAGCUAUUAAUGGAGGACUUUGUUCGCCGAUCCACUAAUCGCCUCCUCGAACUAAGUUUCACGCGAUUUAGCACUACUAUCCACGAGUCUUUCCCUCGAACCAAGUUCUAUGUGGCCUAUCACCACUAUUCACGGGUCAAUUUCUGAAUCAUUGUGUGUCACUCACAUUGUUAGAGUAUUUUACGGCAAUCAAAGCCUCUAAUUAGCUUUUUCUUGUGUGCGCGUUUCCUAGCUCAUAAGGGUAAACAACCCGAGCCCAACACCAUCACCCAUCCAUCACCAUACUUGUCCCAUCGAACUUGGACUCAAAUUUUGUUGGGAUAAACCAGCCCGAAAAUACUCUUAACAUGAUUGAUACUGUCCACUUUAGGCCAAGGUUGUUCAGUUUUCUCUAAAAGGUCACACGCCCAACAGAACUAAUAAGUGUCUAAAUGAGUUAUUUUCUGACAAUUCAAAUUUGUAAUUCUCAAAAUAAUAUUUCUUUAUGUGCGGAACGUGUACAAUGGUGUAUCUAGACUGGACGCAGUGGAUCGACAAAGCUGAUCGAGUCUACAAUACAUACAUACAUAUACAUACGUGAAAAUUGAAACGUAUCUAAUAAAAUAUAAUCCACUAACUCUAAAUGCUGGAUCAACCAUUCAAUGUAUAGGAUCAUUACAUAUGGUGAAAACAUAGAAUGCCCCACGUCACGUUCUUUUGCUUCUCUAUGAACCUAUAGCUAGAAAUCUUCAUUAUUGAAAGUGAUUGAAAUAGAAUCCUUGGCCGAAUUAUUGCAGCAUUCUUUUGACAAAAAUAAAAACUGAAUAGGAAAGAUGGCAAAAAGGAAGGCUUUACUAAAGCACAACAUUUUUUAUACACAACAUAGUGGACUAAUUUAAUCUUAACUACUAGUGCUACUCCUUUGAGAGAGAGAGAGAAUGAAGUUCUUGUUCCAGGGUCCAUGUUGUUCUUGUUUCUGCUUCAUGAAGCCACAGAAAGGCAAACCAAAAGCUAAAGUGGAAGAAGCCAAACCUAAAGAUAAGAAGGUGGAAGAAGCUAAAGCUAAGGAUAAGAAGGUGGAAGAAGCCAAACCUAAAGAAAAGAAGGCGGAAGAAGCCAAACCAAAAGAGAAGGAAGAAAGCAAACCAGAAUAAUGAUAGUAGAGGCAAUGGCAAAUGCAGCUAUAUUAUUCUAGUACAAGUAUUGUUCUUCAUUUACUUUACUGCUUGUUUAUGGUGUUUUCCAAUUUCCAUCCAUAUGGUGUGCAAUCUUUAACACUUUCUUUGGAAAACGCUAGUACUAUUUCUCCUCCUAAUGUAUUUUUAUAAGAAAAUAAUUUCACUUUAUUUACUCUGAAAGGCAAAAGUAAUACUUCUGUUGCUCGAAUUCUUAAAAAAUUGUCACUUCUAAAAAAUGCAUAACUUUUGCAAGAUCCUACACAUGCGACAAAUUUUUUGAAGGAUAUACUAAGUUAGUAGCUAUUUCAGUUUUAAUUAGGAUAGAUAAUAUGAAGAUUGACUAGGGGGCAUAUUCUAUAUAUUCAUAGUGUGUUUUAUUGAAAAUUCGGACUUUUAAGUUCCUCUUCAGUCAGUAGAAUAUAUGUUUGUAGUCUUUUAAAAAGUUAAUUAGAUAAGAUCUGAGAACAUAUAAUCCUUUAUCACUUUAUGUGGAUCUUGGAGUGUAUGAUAUAUAAUCUGAAUUCCUAUUCAUUGAUAGUCUAUUUCCUUUUUU